GCCCGACUCACGAAGGGCCGUAUUUAUUAGAUAUCAGCCAAUAAGCAUCUGCUAUUGUGGUGACUCAUAGUAACUUAAUCGGAUCGCAUGGGCUUGUCCCGCGACAAACCAUUCAAGUUUCUGCCCCAUCAUGCUUUCGAUGGUAGUGUAUUGGACUACCAUGGCUUUCACGGGUAACGGAGGAUUAGGGUUCGAUUCCGGAGAGGGAGCCUGAGAAACGGCUACCACUUCCACGGAAGGCAGCAGGCGCGUAAAUUACCCAAUCCUGAUUCAGGGAGGUAGUG
rnacentral:rRNA from 1 species